UUAAGCAAUGGAGAGACGCAGGAAGGUAGCCGAACCGCGGCGAUGGUUGUUCCGCGGGUAAGGGUGUAGGGCGAGGUGUAGGCAAAUCCGCACCUCAUGUGCCUGAGACCUGACACGGACCCGUAAGGGGAAGUCGGUGAUCCUAUGCUGCCAAGAAAAUCUUCUAGCGAGGUUCUAGCCGCCCGUACCCCAAACCGACUCAGGUGGUUAGGUAGAGAAUACCAAGGCGAUCGAGUGAAUCGUGGUUAAGGAAUUCGGCAAAAUACCCCCGUAACUUCGGGAGAAGGGGGGCCCAGAGGGUGACGGGACUUGCUCCCCGAGCCUGAACGGCCGCAGAGACCAGGGAGAAGCGACUGUUUACUAAAAACACAGGUCCGUGCCAAGUCGCAAGACGAUGUAUACGGACUGACGCCUGCCCGGUGCUGGAACGUUAAGGGGACCGGUUAGCCUCACGGCGAAGCUGAGAACUUAAGCGCCAGUAAACGGCGGUGGUAACUAUAACCAUCCUAAGGUAGCGAAAUUCCUUGUCGGGUAAGUUCCGACCUGCACGAAUGGCGUAACGACUUCUCCACUGUCUCAACCGCGAACUCGGCGAAAUUGCACUACGAGUAAAGAUGCUCGUUACGCGCAGAAGGACGGAAAGACCCCGGGACCUUUACUACAGCUUGGUAUUGGUGUUCGGUACGGCUUGUGUAGGAUAGGUGGGAGACUGUGAAGCUGACGCGCCAGUGUCGGUGGAGUCAACGUUGAAAUACCACUCUGGUCGUUCUGGAUAUCUAACCUAGGUCCGUAAUCCGGAUCAGGGACAGUGCCUGGUGGGUAGUUUAACUGGGGCGGUUGCCUCCUAAAAGGUAACGGAGGCGCCCAAAGGUUCCCUCAGCCUGGUUGGCAAUCAGGUUUCGAGUGUAAGUGCACAAGGGAGCUUGACUGUGAGACUGACAAGUCGAACAGGGACGAAAGUCGGGACUAGUGAUCCGGCGGUGGCUUGUGGAAGCGCCGUCGCUCAACGGAUAAAAGGUACCCCGGGGAUAACAGGCUGAUCUUGCCCAAGAGUCCAUAUCGACGGCAUGGUUUGGCACCUCGAUGUCGGCUCGUCGCAUCCUGGGGCUGGAGUAGGUCCCAAGGGUUGGGCUGUUCGCCCAUUAAAGCGGUACGCGAGCUGGGUUUAGAACGUCGUGAGACAGUUCGGUCCCUAUCCUCUGCGCGCGCAGGAAACUUGAGAAGGGCUGUCCCUAGUACGAGAGGACCGGGAUGGACGAACCUCUGGUGUGUCAGUUGUUCUGCCAAGAGCACCGCUGAUUAGCUACGUUCGGGAGUGAUAACCGCUGAAAGCAUCUAAGCGGGAAGCAUGCUUCAAGAUGAGGUUUCCAUGGGGUUUACCCCGAGAGGCUCCCAGCUAGACUACUGGGUUGAUAGGCCGGAUGUGGAAGUGCGGUAACGCAUGGAGCUGACCGGUACUAAUAAGCCGAUAACUUGACCAA
rnacentral:rRNA from 1 species